CAAAAGACAGAGGAAGGAAAACUUUGCACUUUUCUCCUGCGUAAUUGCUUGAACUGAGUUAUCUCAUCUAAGAUUUACAUCAUUUGUUCCUUUGUUUCUCAGGCCUUUGAGCUUAUACUGAAUUAUACCACCAGCUUUCCUAGGUCUUGAAGCUUACAGACAGCAGAUCUUGGGACUUCUCAGGCACCAUAAUCAAUCAUAGAUAAAUGAUCCAAUGAUUCGGAACUUGAAAAGUGGUAGCUUUAUGAAUUCUCCUUAAGAAGAAACCUGUGCCCCGAUCUUGCCUACUCACCCAAAGGCACUGUGAGAUAGCAUCAAAGGAACAGCUAGUAAGAGACACAGAGCCAGAAAUCAGGGAAGUAAAAUACACUUGACAUCUACAUUCGGAAAGAAAUUUUAGGAGGCAGAAGCAAAUGGAUCAGAAGCUGCUUAUAUUUUUGCAAGAUUACCAAAGAAACCAUUGGUGGAGAAAGUUCUGUGACCAACUUGUCUGAGUCUAGUAAGACUGAACGCUCACACACAAGUUUCAUGAAGUGGGUUUGAUACUUACAGAUAAGCAGCAAGGACCAACAGAAGCUGAUGAUCUAUGGUGAACUUUUUCCCAAGGCUCCGGAAAGCUGCCUAAAGUAGAUGGAGUCUUCUCUGUGUGUGCCCCACUGGUCCUGCAGUUGAAGGAUCCGGUAAAGCAGCCUGCCCUGGGUUUUACACUCCAGAGGAACGUGAUUCGCUGGACUAAAGCAUUGAAGUGCAUCCUGUUUCCGGGGGGCACUGGAACAGAGCCUGGUCUGUUCUAGCCAGUCCCUUUCUAUCUCAGGAUGUUGCAUUCCCAGUACAUUCUACAGUUAUUCUUGAGAACUAUAAUCAAAUAAGCAGGGAGAACUGGGAAAGCAGAGGCUCAUCGUGGAACCCUCAAGGAGCAUGUGGUCGUCUUCAUCCCUCAGUUUAUAAAUGGCCAAGGAGAGUAAUGCAACAAAAACUUCUCAGACUUAAGAGCCAGAGUUCCUAAAGAACCGUGGACAAAGGGUUCUGUCUAGUGGGCAGAAUUCAUCCAGCGAAGGUCUCCUAACUACAGAGGGUCACAUCUGGAUCUGAUGGUACCUACAGAACUUGGACUCUGAGCGACAAUCAGUGACCAGGUGUGACUUUAUAUU
rnacentral:lncRNA from 1 species